AGACCCGAAACCCGGUGAUCUAGCCAUGGGCAGGUUGAAGGUUGGGUAACACUAACUGGAGGACCGAACCGACUAAUGUUGAAAAAUUAGCGGAUGACCUGUGGCUGGGGGUGAAAGGCCAAUCAAACCGGGAGAUAGCUGGUUCUCCCCGAAAGCUAUUUAGGUAGCGCCUCGUGAAUUCAUCUCCGGGGGUAGAGCACUGUUUCGGCUAGGGGGCCAUCCCGGCUUACCAACCCGAUGCAAACUGCGAAUACCGGAGAAUGUUAUCACGGGAGACACACGGCGGGUGCUAACGUCCGUCGUGAAGAGGGAAACAACCCAGACCGCCAGCUAAGGUCCCAAAGUCAUGGUUAAGUGGGAAACGAUGUGGGAAGGCCCAGACAGCCAGGAUGUUGGCUUAGAAGCAGCCAUCAUUUAAAGAAAGCGUAAUAGCUCACUGGUCGAGUCGGCCUGCGCGGAAGAUGUAACGGGGCUAAACCAUGCACCGAAGCUGCGGCAGCGACACUGUGUGUUGUUGGGUAGGGGAGCGUUCUGUAAGCCUGUGAAGGUGUGUCGUGAGGCAUGCUGGAGGU
rnacentral:rRNA from 3 species